GAAUGGAUUUCACCAACAGGAAUGCAAGUAAUGUUUUUGGCACGUAAUGUCCAACCUUGGCGCCACACAGCAGAAUCUAUACGGCGAGGUGCUCUCAAAUAAAACAAGACAUCAGACAGAGAUUCUUUUCCUAAACUGCGUAUAUGGUAGGAAUGGUUUGACACUUCAGGAGGUGAUUUCAAAUAUUAGCAGUUUGCUGAUAACCAGAUCAGCUUUUUGUUGGGGAGGACUUUUCCUUCGACAAAAGCUCCAGGAGCCCGUAACACAAAGCUUAAUCAGCAAUCAUCAUAGAAUUUUUUUUAACGAUUAAUUCCAUUGACUACAGCUGUGCUGCCAUUGUCCAUUGUAUUAUCGCAAGAUGUAGCCUGGUCAGAGAGGAAUGGAGCAGGUUUUCAUCAGGGGUUAAGAUAACGGCGGGUACAAGUGCAGAAUACAAAAUAUUCUUUGGAAGGCAUCUGUAUGAUUACCUUACGGUGAGAUGAGGUACGGCGACGUCAUUUUUGACCAGGUAAUCCAAGGGGACCCAUCGGUUUUACCAGGAGGAGUUGGACAGUGUAUUCGAACGACGAAUCUACCGUGUUGAUACCAUGGUCUUAGAGUUCACCCGAUGCAGUCUCAUCAUGGUGAGGGGUGAUCAAGGAUCCAGUUGGUCUUCCGCCGGCCCAAGACCCAAGACCUUUGUUACAUGCCGGAAACCCCAACAAAAAAUAAUUGAAAGAAAAAAAAAUAAAACGAGCAUAUCUCUGAAAAUUUCAUCAACAUCGGAUG